GUUGCUAGGGAGAUGGGCUGAGCCGGGCGGGCAUCGCGCCAGACCUGCUACUCUGGAUAAUCCACUCUCCUGGAUAAUCCACUACCCUGGAUAAUCGGCUGCCCGCUUUUGCGCAUGUUAGGGAGUUGACGGCCUGUAGCAUUCUGAUGCAGCAAAAUAUUUCGCAGGGUCUGUCAUAGGGAUCUCCGGUGAGAGGAGGUUCCCUUCGAAGGCAGAACUGGAAACCUUGCUGCUAACUUGGUAGGGUUGUUGAGAUAAUUACAUGAGAUGGCAUAUGAAGGGCGGCUUAGUUCAAUACCUGGCAUGUAGUAGGUGUUCAGUGGGCGUAGUUACCGGAUUGAUUCAGAUAGUCUGAACGCCAGUGUCUCUUGAAAGAAAUAAACUGGCCGGGCGUGGUGACUGUAAUCCCAGCACUUUGGGAGGCCGAGGUGGGCGAAUCACUUGGGGUCAGGAGUUUGAGACCAGCCUGGCCAGCGUGGUGAAACCCCGUUUCUACUAAAAAAAAAAAAAAAAAUACAAAAAUUAGCCGGGCAUGGGGGCGGGCGCCUGCAAUCCCAGCUGCUUGGGUGGCUGGGCGGGCUCCUGCAAUCCCAGCUACUCGGGAGGCUGAGGCAGGAGAAUCGCUUGAACCCCGGGGUCGGGGGCGGAGGCGGAGGUUGCAGUGGGCCGAGAUCACGCCAUUUUCUGGGCGAGAGAGCGAGACUCCGUCUCAAAAAAAAAAAAAAAAACCAUGAAAGAAAUAAGCUCAGUGAAGGCGGGCAUUCUGCCUGGCUAACGCAGGUCGCUCCUUGCCGUGCCUGGAACAUUACUGGUGUUGAAAGCAGCAGGGGCCUAGAAGACAUUAAACCGAUACCACAGAAAUACAAAGGAUCAUUAGAGACUAUUAUGAACAACUAUAUGCCAACAAAUUGGAAACCAAAUGGAAAUGGAUAAAUUCCUGAACAGAUACAACUUACCAAAAUUGGACCAAGAAGAAAUAGAAAACCUGAAAAGACCAACUAUGAGUAAUGAGAUUAAAUCAGUAAUAUAGAGUCUCCCAUCAAAGAAAAGUCCAGGCCCUGAUGGCUUCACUGCUGAAUUCUACUGAACAGUUAAAGAAGAACUCAUACCAGUUCUCAAACUCAUCCUGUGAGGGCAGCAUUACCCUGAUACCAAAACUAGAUAUGGACACAAGAAAAAAAAU
rnacentral:lncRNA from 1 species